rnacentral:rRNA from 1 species
CUUGUCUCUUAAAUGGGGACCCGUAUGAAUGGCAACACAUUUUCUAACUGUCUCCUUUCUCCCCCUUCCAAACUUCUACUAAUGUGAAGAAGCAUUAACAAACAAGAAAGACGAGAAGACCCUGUCGAGCUUAAACUUCCCAAAGAAAUACCAUAAUUACUCAUAACAAGAACAUUAAAAUCUUUUAAAGAAGUUUUGGUUGGGGCAACCACGGAGUAAAACAAACCUCCUGUAACAAAAGCUGAUAAUCAAUCACUAAACCACCUAAAAGUAUAAAAGAACCAGAACCUCUGGUAAACAGAAAAAGUUACCGCAGGGAUAACAGCGUCAUCUCCUUUAAGAGUUC